CCAUUUCUAAAACAUAGGAUGUCAUUCUUCUCUGCUCAUUUUGUUUUAUUUAAUUCAUGAGACAAACUUUAUUUGGUUCAUAAAUAAAUUGUAACAACAGGCAUUUGUUUUUGAGGUGAAGAUACACGAGCCGAACGCAAUAAAGCAAGAACACUAAAGCAUCAAAAAUUACGCAGGUUUUCAGAAGAAGGGGGAGGAAGAAGACGAAGAAGGAAGAAGAAAGAGGAAGAAGAAGGAGGAGGAUUAAGAAGAUGGAGGAGGAAGAAGGAGGAUGAAGAAGAAGAAGGAAUAAGGAGCAUGAAGAAGUCAGAAGAAGAAGGAGGAGGAAGAAGAAGAAGAAUGACCCAUAAAAAAUCUCUGGAAGCAUUAAACAGAAUAAUGCAAGAUCUACGUCGCAAUCAACAAAUAUUGGGUGGUGCAAUAAUAUUUUUGUCAGGAGAUUUCAGAAAAACAUUGCCCGUCAUUCCACGUGCAACGUUAGCGGAUCAGGUCAAUGCUUGCUUGAAGUAUUAUUUCCUGUGGCGAUUUGUCCAAAAAUUGACAUUGAAAAUAAACAUGCGUGUUCAAUAGCACUAUGAUCAAUCUGCAGAA